CUUAGGGGAACCAUGAAGGAGAGAUGGGAUGGCUCUGUUUGGAUUGAUAACAGGGCAGGAUGUGAGUUCACAGCUGCUGAUAACCAUUUCCACCACCAGAAUGGGGAGAGCCUGCCUGAGAAUGAAGACAAUGAAGAAAGCAAAGUAGAGAGUUGUAAAGGCACAGAUUUCUGAAGGAGAAUUUCUGUAUCUGCCUCAUGGGGUGUUUGUAGGCGCUGAAUGAAACAGUCCAGGUAAGGUGCCUGGUAUCCACAUCAAAACCAUAAGAUGGCAAAAAAUAAAGAAUGCUGAAACAUGACCAAAGGUUGGCAAGGAUGUGAGUGAGUGAGGCUUCCACUGACACUGCACAUCAAUGCAAUCACUUCAGAGAUUCAUUUGGCGGAAUCAAGUGGAGGUAUAUACCCAAAAGAAAUGAAAACAUACAUCCACAAAAUGUUCAUCUGCAGGAAUGUUCGCAGUGGCAUUCUUCAUAAAAGUGGAAACAAUGGAAGUUCAU
ensembl:lncRNA